rnacentral:rRNA from 1 species
UAAUACGUAGGGUGCGAGCGUUAAUCGGAAUUACUGGGCGUAAAGCGUGCGCAGGCGGUUUCGUAAGACAGAGGUGAAAUCCCCGGGCUCAACCUGGGAACUGCCUUUGUGACUGCGAGGCUAGAGUAUGGCAGAGGGGGGUGGAAUUCCACGUGUAGCAGUGAAAUGCGUAGAGAUGUGGAGGAACACCGAUGGCGAAGGCAGCCCCCUGGGCCAAUACUGACGCUCAUGCACGAAAGCGUGGGGAGCAAACAGG